ACGGGAGGCAGCAGUGGGGGAUAUUGCACAAUGGGGGAAACCCUGAUGCAGCGACGCCGCGUGAAGGAAGAAGGCUUUCGGGUUGUAAACUUCUUUUAUCAGGGACGAAGAAAGUGACGGUACCUGAUGAAUAAGCCACGGCUAACUACGUGCCAGCAGCCGCGGUAAUACGUAGGUGGCAAGCGUUGUCCGGAUUUAUUGGGUGUAAAGGGCGCGUAGGCGGGAUAGCAAGUCAGGUGUGAAAUCUAUGGGCUUAACCCAUAAACUGCACUUGAAACUGUUAUUCUUGAGUGUCGGAGAGGUAGAUGGAAUUCCUAGUGUAGCGGUGAAAUGCGUAGAUAUUAGGAGGAACACCAGUGGCGAAGGCGAUCUACUGGACGAUAACUGACGCUGAGGCGCGAAAGCGUGGGGAGCAAACAGGAUUAGAUACCCUGGUA
rnacentral:rRNA from 1 species